AUUGAACGCUGGCGGCAGGCCUAACACAUGCAAGUCGAACGAGUGGCGGACGGGUGAGUAAUGUCUGGGAAACUGCCUGAUGGAGGGGGAUAACUACUGGAAACGGUAGCUAAUACCGCAUAACAUCAGAUGUGCCCAGAUGGGAUUAGCUUGUUGGUGGGGUAACGGCUCACCAAGGCGACGAUACCUAGCUGGUAUGAGUGGAUGACCAGCCACACUGGAACUGAAAAACGGUCCAGACUCCGACGUGAGGCAGCAGUGGUGAGUAGUGCACAAUGGGAGCAAGCCUGAUGCAGCCAUGCCGAGUGUAUGAAGAAGGCCGUCGGGUUGUAAAGUACUUUCAGCUGGGAGGCGUUACCCGCAGAAGAAGCACCGGCUAACUCCGUGCCAGCCGCCGCGGUAAUUC
rnacentral:rRNA from 1 species